UGUCUAUAGUACUGCUCGAAUUCUGCACCUGACAGCUUAUUUCUCUCAUUUAGUCUCAUGAGUCUGUGUUUAAUAUAAAUUCUUUAGUGGUUUGCUUAAAACUAAUAAGAAAUCAGGUUAUAAGUGUCUGAUCGACUGCUAGGCAGCAUGUACACUGUAGGUAAAUGGAGUAUUUUCCUGUUCUGUACACAUACUAUUUGGACUGAAGACUUGAUUGGUUUCUCUUUCUCUCCAGUGUCUGUGAUGGAAACACAAACAGAGGAAGGAUCCCAGCAGUUAAUUCAUAUGGAGGUCAAGGAGGACACUUUGAGCUACAUGGAGAAACUCCUCCUUAAAAAACACAGCAGAGGACAAAUUGAAGAAUUUCAGCCCCGGUCUGUCGUCCAACGCCAGCCGGAGCCACCCACACCUCCACCCGCAGAGAUGGAUGAACUGAGCCGAAAACUGACAGGUGUGACCUGUUUCAUCACACACAUAUGCAAUUAAACAGUAAACUGAUAAUAGACAUUCACGUCACACUAUUGUAAACAUAAAAUCUCAAUUGACCAUAUUUAUUUUUUUAUUUCAUUAUUUUUCAUUUUAUUUAUUUAUACAGUUGUGGUCAGAAUUAUUACCCCCUUGGUAAAUAAAAGGACUAGAAAAUGUAAAUAUGAAUAUGAAUAUAUUAUAUUCAUAAGAAUUUCUAGGGGUGCUAAUAAUUGUGGCUAUAUUUUAUUAGAGAAGAAGUUUUAUUUCAUAAUUAGUUUUUCCCUCACUUUCAAUUGUUUAAAUUCAAUGGAAGGUUAGAUUUUUAUUGAUUUUUUUAAAUUGAAAGAUCACAAGGAUAAACAAUGCAAUUUUAUUUUCCACAGCCUUUUUCUGCUCAUAUUUACCAUUUUUCCUUUUUUUUAAAACUAAUCGACUUAAUUUUUUACUUUUCCACACGUUCCUUUUCUGCUCAUUACUUACUCUUUCUUUUUUUUUUUUUGCUAGCAUUUAAAGGGAUAGGGAUCAUUUACUCACCCUCAAGUUGUUGCAAACCUGUAUGAGAUUCUUUCUUCUGUUGAGCACAAAAGAAGAUAUUUUGAGAGUUUUGAUAUUUAAGAGUUUUAGUAACAUGGAACAAUACAAUGGAAGUCAAUGGCUGCCGUCACCAGUUAGUAAAUGUGAACUCUCCCUCCAAACAGGAUUGAUAUUUCAAAACAUUUUUAUAUAUAUUUUUGUCACUGGAAACCUGUCAUAUUACAUCUGGUUUGGACAAAGGAUGAUACGGAAUAGUGGGUGACCGGUCAUGUACACGACCCGCACAAGUGCACUAUCUCCAAAAAGUUGGAGAAAUGAGCUGUAAGAGUCACUGCAGAGGGCAGCUUUCCUCUCUCAGCCCGCAGCUCGGAUCCAUCACUGCGUCCCUGAAGGGUAAUCAGAGAGCUCUUAUUACACUGGAGGGAGGGCGAUGGUCUGACAGAGCACUCCGACAGCUGAUUGAGAGAAGUUUCUAGGUGCUGCUGGGAGGCCGGUUGAUCACAGCUGUCAAAGAACUGACCACUUUUAGCUUUUCCCAAACAGCCACAUGAUGAGCGCCGUCUCUCUUCAUCGGCACCAGCCCGAACCUGUCGCAUCUUUUCUAAAGCCCGUCUCCAUGGUGUUCACGCCCAAAACACUUUUUUAGUCACUUUUUUGAAUGCAAAGCCAUCUUUCUGGUGGUUCGUCUGAUUUGGAUUCUGCUGGUUGGUCAUUACUUGAUCCGUCUGUCAACAGCUUUUCUUGAUUUAUCCUGCAUUUAAAAACAUCACACAACAUUCACAUAGCAUUUCACUUAAAAAUGAUAUGAUCUGUAAGUUAUGGGAUUUUAUGUUUACAUUACUUUAACUCGUCAAAAUAACCAAUUGCAAGUUUUUUAAUUAUAUUAAAUUCAACUUGAUUUUACAGUAAUUUAAGUCGAAAUGACUUGUGCAACCAAGUUGAUUAUACUUUAAAAUUGAAUGCAGCAACUGAACAGGGCUGCAUUUCCCAAAACCACUGUAACUUAAGUAGUACUUGAAAAUCUUCAUAGAUCUAUGACUGCUCUGGAGUAAUUGUAAAUCCCUACGUGCAUCGUAAGAAGAUAUAAUUAUGAGGUGACCUGCAGGACAGUCAGCAGAUUACACCUUUAACUUUAUUCAAGUGCAAUGUGAUUAUAAUUAAAGCUUUUGAUUGUAGUUUAUUGUACACUUUAUUACUCUUUUUUUUUAUGAAUUUAUAAAUGAAAUAAUUAAAAAGAGCAGAAAAAAUAUUUUAAAAUAUAUCUAAAAUUAAAUGACUGAAAACAAAUGAAUAAAAGAAGUAAUGUAGGAAAUCUGCUUCAAAGACUGGGAAAAAUAGGGAUAAACUAAAAAAAAAAAAUCUGUCAAUAAUUUGCUGACGUGCACAAUAACCAGCCACAAAUUGGACCCAGAAAUUACAUCUCUACAGAUAUUAUAUAGCUACUAUAAUAUAUAUUAUUAUAUAUAGUAAAUUAAUAUUAUACUCAUAACUAUUUUAUUUUAUUUUAUUUUAUUUCCGAGCUGUCUGGAACGCAGCAUUAGGUUAACAUUUCAAUAAACAAGCGUGUAUUACAAUAACGAGCCAUUCUAUAAAUUGACAUUUCAGCACUUGACAAACGGAUAGCGACUCCUAAGUAGCACUUAAAGCAGGGCUACGUGCGAUUGUGUUAAGUGCAUUUUUGGGAAAAGCACGUGAAACAAUAACAAACGUUCGUAAAAUGAGUCGUAGAAAAUGCUCUUAAGCGUUAAGAUCAAUUGUUAUCGAGAAGCGCAGUCCUGAAAGUUUUUAAGUUUUUUUUUAUGCUGAAAAGAAUAUGUGCCAAGAAUUUAGUAAGAUCAUUAAAUAAUUGUUUCUUUUAUUUUCCCCCGAUGUCCACAGCCUUGUUUACUUUAUCAGAAAAAAAAAUAUAUAUAUUUCAAAGGUGGAAAAUUUGUUAUACUCCACCAUGCAAAAGUCUUAAGCUCACCAAGUCUGCAUUUAUUUGAUCAAAAAUAUAGUAAAAACAGUAACUGAAACAGUGAUUUUUUUUCAGGCUUCUUUGAUGAGUAGAAAAUUCAAAAGAUUGUUUUUUUUUUUUUUUNUUUUUUAAGGAAUAAAUUUAAGAAAUGUUUCCAAAUUUAAAUUAAAAAAAAAAAAAACAACUAACCAUUUAUUAAAAAAAAAAAAAAAAAAAACUAAACAUUAUCUCUUUACUUUUGUUAAAAGUAUUCAAAAUCCUACGGACUCCAAAAUCUUGAAAUAUUAUGAAAACAUGUUUUUUUUUCAUUACGUAAUAUGCAUGAAUGAAUUAUGCACAGAUGGGCUAUUUAUUUAGAAAAUAAAUAGGCAAAAAUUUUGAUUUAAUGUCUUGAAAAAAUAAAUUUUCAUAGGGCAUGGACUGAAAUAUAAAUGUAGAGAUCUGGCUCUCUGUAUUAUGAAUAAAUACGUUCAUACUGAUCACUGAGCUGAUUUAAUUUCAGUGUUUAACUCUUAACAUAAAUCUGUUUUACUGCAUCUCUGAUUUGCAGCAGAGUGGAUGGAGUUGCAUAAAUACUUUACAUCUCUCUUCACGAUCGCUCCUGCUGAGGAUGCUGGGAAUGCGGACAGCCCUUCAGAAUCCUGUUUAAGCAUCGUAGAGUUAGAUGAGGUAAUUCUGAACCCCACCACCCUAGUAUCUGUAAUGGACUACUGGGAGAUAGCCAGCGAAUGACUCCUCAGUGAUGUUUCCUUGCACUUAUCAUUCUGUCUUCUCCAAUUUCUUCUGUCAUUGUUUGUUUUGUUUCAUUUUUUGUCACUUUAAUUUUCCCAGAGGGAUGAAGACGCUACAAUGUACAGAUCCUUUGGAGUCAAGCAGGGAAAUGAGAGCAAAAUGUAAGAAAGACAAGAUCAAGGCGAUAACCCGAGACUUUUUGAAAGGAAGCGACGGAAAAGUUCACAGUAGGAGUGUCGUUUUGAAACAACAAAAUAAUACAAGUAGCUGCUUUUUUCUUAACUCAGAACUGACACAAAUACAGUGUCAUCUUGACAUUUACAUUUAUAUCAGCCACAUCUAGACUUAAAAUAAGGCUGUUAACUGUGGGUUUAAGUUAUUAGAUGUUAUAUAUGCAUGUCUGUUUUCUUCCUUAAGGUUUGCAGCUGUUGGAAAUGGAGGAGAUUUUGGAUAUUCGGUUUUGCCUUUCACACCGUGCUUCUCCGAGAUGACCAAAGGAUCCAUCGGUGAAUGUGAUUCUGACAUAAAGAUCAACUCUUCUUCUGAGAUGUGGCCGCUGUCUCAAGAGGCUGAACAAUCUUCGUCAUCAUUGCCAAGAUCAGAAAGCUUUUCUCCACUUCAGACGAGGCUUCAGAGAUCACAGCACCUGUAGACUGCCUCAUAAUCCUUUCUGUCAAAUUCACGAACAGGAGGCCAGAAAGUGGAACUCAGUGACUCUCCAAAACCAAGAUCUUCUGCAGCACAACAGGAGAAAUCCUCAGAGCUUCUGCCAACAUCAUCCCCUUCACUCCCAAAAAUCAAAUUAAAUCAAACUCUCCCAGGCUUUGAGGACCAUAUUUCCACUGUCAGCCUCUCUCCUGGUGAAAUACCAUCUGUUAGGCCUUCUCAAUGUCAUUUUCCUGCUUUUCUCAUCUCUAAACAAAGUCCAAAACCUCCAGAUUCUCUGUCCCCAAGGUCUUGAUCAGUUUCUUCUCUAGUAAACCCAGUCCAAUCCAGACCUGCUCAUUCAACACCUGUUUCUGAACUGUCUCCAGAACGUGCCAUCACUUCCCCAAGUGCUGCAGUUCCUUCAUUAAAGCUGUCACUUAGAGAAUCAUCACAGUCUGGAUUAGUCU
rnacentral:lncRNA from 1 species